UACGAAGGGUGCAAGCGUUACUCGGAAUUACUGGGCGUAAAGGGUGCGUAGGUGGUCGUUUAAGUCCGUUGUGAAAUCCCUGGGCUCAACCUGGGAAUGGCAGUGGAUACUGGACGGCUAGAAUGCGGUAGAGGGUCGUGGAAUUCCCAGUGUAGAGGUGAAAUUCGUAGAUAUUGGGAAGAACACCAGUGGCGAAGGCGACUCACUGGCCCGAUACUGACGCUGAGGCGCGAAAGCGUGGGGAGCAAACAGG
rnacentral:rRNA from 1 species